AGAGUUUGAUCCUGGCUCAGAACGAACGCUGGCGGCAGGCUUAACACAUGCAAGUUGAACGUGAUUUGUUUGGUGCUUGCACCGAGCAAUGAAAGUAGCGCACUGGUGAGUAACACGUGGGAACGUACCUUUUGGUGGGGAACAACAGUUGGAAACGACUGCUAAUACCGCAUAAGCCCUGAGGGGGAAAGAUUUAUCGCCGAAAGAACGGCCCGCGGAAGAUUAGGUAGUUGGUGGGGUAACGGCCUACCAAGCCGACGAUCUAUAGCUGGUCUGAGAGGACGAUCAGCCACAUUGGAACUGAGACACGGUCCAAACUCCUACGGGAGGCAGCAGUGAGGAAUAUUGGGCAAUGGAGGCAACUCUGACCCAGCCAUGCCGCGUGAGUGAAGAAGGUUUUCGGAUUGUAAAGCUCUUUCGGGUGUGACGAUGAUGACGGUAGCACCUAAAGAAGCCCCGGCUAACUUCGUGCCAGCAGCCGCGGUAAUACGAAGGGGGCAAGCGUUGUUCGGAAUUACUGGGCGUAAAGGGAGUGUAGGCGGUUAUGUAAGAUAGUGGUGAAAUCCCAGAGCUUAACUUUGGAAUUGCCAUUAUGACUAUGUGGCUAGAAUUACAGAGAGGAUAGUGGAAUACCCAGUGUAGAGGUGAAAUUCGUAGAUAUUGGGUAGAACACCAGUGGCGAAGGCGACUAUCUGGCUGUAUAUUGACGCUGAGGCUCGAAAGCAUGGGGAUCAAACAGGAUUAGAUACCCUGGUAGUCCAUGCUGUAAACGAUGAGUGCUUGUUGUCGGUGUAAAAUCGGUGACGAAGUUAACGCGUUAAGCACUCCGCCUGGGGAGUACGGUCGCAAGAUUAAAACUCAAAGGAAUUGACGGGGACCC
rnacentral:rRNA from 1 species